CCUACGGGUGGCAGCAGUGGGGAAUAUUGGACAAUGGGCGAAAGCCUGAUCCAGCCAUGCCGCGUGUGUGAAGAAGGCCUUCGGGUUGUAAAGCACUUUCAGUGGGGAAGAAAGCCUUGGGGCUAAUACCCUCGAGGAAGGACAUCACCCACAGAAGAAGCACCGGCUAACUCCGUGCCAGCAGCCGCGGUAAUACGGAGGGUGCGAGCGUUAAUCGGAAUUACUGGGCGUAAAGCGCGCGUAGGCGGUCUGAUAAGCCGGUUGUGAAAGCCCCGGGCUCAACCUGGGAACGGCAUCCGGAACUGUCAGGCUAGAGUGCAGGAGAGGAAGGUAGAAUUCCCGGUGUAGCGGUGAAAUGCGUAGAGAUCGGGAGGAAUACCAGUGGCGAAGGCGGCCUUCUGGACUGACACUGACGCUGAGGUGCGAAAGCGUGGAUAGCAAACAGGAUUAGAUACCCCGGUAGUC
rnacentral:rRNA from 1 species